rnacentral:ncRNA from 1 species
UUGAGCCGUACGAGAUGAAAUUCUCAUAUACGGUUCUCAGGGGGGGUCCGUUGGUUUACCUAUCUCAAU